rnacentral:rRNA from 1 species
CCUACGGGGGGCAGCAGUGAGGAAUAUUGGUCAAUGGUCGGGAGACUGAACCAGCCAAGCCGCGUGAGGGAUGAAGGUACAGAGUAUCGUAAACCUCUUUUGUCAGGGAACAAAGGCUGGGACGCGUCCCCGGAUGAGUGUACCUGAAGAAAAAGCAUCGGCUAACUCCGUGCCAGCAGCCGCGGUAAUACGGAGGAUGCGAGCGUUAUCCGGAUUUAUUGGGUUUAAAGGGUGCGCAGGCGGUCGGUUAAGUUAGAGGUGAAAUCCCGAGGCUCAACCUCGGACUUGCCUUUGAUACUGGUAGUCUAGAGAGUAGUAGCGGUAGGCGGAAUGUGUGGUGUAGCGGUGAAAUGCUUAGAUAUCGCACAGAACACCGAUUGCGAAGGCAGCUUACCAGGCUACUACUGACGUUGAGGCACGAAAGCGUGGGGAGCAAACAGGAUUAGAUACCCUUGUAGUC